AUACGGAGGGUCCAAGCGUUAUCCGGAAUCAUUGGGUUUAAAGGGUUCGUAGGCGGGUCAAUAAGUCAGAGGUGAAAUCUUGCAGCUUAACUGUAAAAUUGCCUUUGAUACUGUUGACCUUGAAUUACUGUGAAGUGGUUAGAAUAUGUAGUGUAGCGGUGAAAUGCUUAGAGAUUACAUAGAAUACCGAUUGCGAAGGCAGAUCACUAACAGUAUAUUGACGCUGAUGAACGAAAGCGUGGGUAGCGAACGGGAUUAGAAACCCCAGUAGUCC
rnacentral:rRNA from 1 species